CCAGGCUGGGCCGCUGCCUGUCUGGGGGGUCAGGGCCUGCGUCUGGCCUCACCGCCCCUGGGCCCGAGCCCAUGGCGGGCAGGGACCGACGUCCAUCCCUGAGACCGGCUCUCGCCCGCCUGCCCACCCACCCGCCCACCUAAGGGAGGGACGCAGGAACAGAACGGAUCCGGGGGCAUCUGGCCAUGGGAUGACGAUUCUGCACGGCGCUCUUGUGUCUCUGCACGUCUUUCCAGGAGAGGCCCCGGCUGCCCUCUGUCUGGACCGUCAUGUCAAGGACGUUUGUAUGGAGAACAGCCUCAAAAGGUCAAGACAGUGUCUCCCUCCAAGCAAAGAGCUCGAUUUAACAGUGUCGCUGGCUGGAACUGGGAUCCGCCAAUGUCCCUCGAGUGACUGCCGGAUGCAAGAUGCUCUUGUCACCACCUUCACGCAGCAGAUGGAUGCCAAAGCGCAUCUCUUUGUUCCCCCCAGGGCACGCCAAACAGGCCCUCUGCUACUGCCACGUCCUCCCCGAGGGGCUUUAGCAGUGGCACCUUGCCAAGUGGGGAGACCUUCCGUGUGGGACCUCAAUGGCCAACCUGUCUUUGGAGCCAUCUGCCCACAUGAGCCGAGGUUGGAGUAGCUGACCCUGGUUCUUCUGGGAGGUUCCCAGAUUCCUGGCCAUCCACUGUGUUUCCUACUACUGUUUUUCUAGCCUACUUAGCUAUUCAGGGGGAAAAUAUCACAGUGGGUAGGAAGUUUUUGCUCAAAAGCCAAACAAAGAGAAGAAAAACAAGAGCAAAGGGAAAGAAGGUUAAAAAAAAAAAAAUAAUAAAGCCUUUGAGAA